rnacentral:rRNA from 1 species
CACGUAGUUAGCCGUGGCUUAUUCAAGAGGUACCGUCUUCUGCUCUUCCCUCUUAAAAGAAGUUUGCAACCCGAAAGCCUUCUUCCUUCACGCGGCGUUGCUGGGUCAGGCUUGCGCCCAUUGCCCAAUAUUCCCCACUGCUGCCUCCCGUAGGAGUCUGGGCCGUAUCUCAGUCCCAAUGUGGCCGGUCAACCUCUCAGUCCGGCUACUGAUCGUCGCCUAGGUGGGCCGUUACCCCGCCUACUAGCUAAUCAGACGCGAGGCCAUCUUCCAGCGAUAAAUCUUUGACAUUCAAACCAUGCGAUUCAAAUGUGUCAUGCGGUAUUAGCAGUCGUUUCCAACUGUUGUCCCCCUCUGGAAGGCAGGUUCCUCACGCGUUACUCACCAGUCCGCCACUAAGCAUUCCUCUCCAUUGUCCGAAAACUCUUUCAAGGUGCUCGUUCGACUUGCAUGUGUUAAGCACGCCGCCAGCGUUCGUCCUGAGCCAAGAUCAAACUACU